UAGUUCAAGCAUAUUGUGUAGGGCCUCAAAAUGUGAAUCCUCAGGAUACAAAUACCCUUUGGCUCAAAUUUGAGGAAGCUCUGAGCAGUUACGAAGACAGGAAAGGGAAUAAUGAUAGCUGCUCCAUUAUGUAAGUUGCGUGUAAUUGUUAGAUCAAUUAUGCUUCCGGGAAUAAGUUUGAGAU